rnacentral:tRNA from 1 species
CCCCUGGUGGUCUAGUGGUUAAAACUCAGCACUUUCACUGCUGCAGCCCAGGUUCAGUCCCUGGUCUGGGAA